AGAGUUUGAUCCUGGCUCAGGAUGAACGCUAGCGGCAGGCUUAAUACAUGCAAGUCGAGGGGCAGCACGGUAUAGCAAUAUAUGGGUGGCGACCGGCAAACGGGUGCGGAACACGUACACAACCUUCCGGUGAGAGGGGGAUAGCCCAGAGAAAUUUGGAUUAAUACCCCAUACUAUAAUGGUCAGGCAUCUGAUUAUUAUCAAAGGCUUCGGCCGCUUAUUGAUGGGUGUGCGUCUGAUUAGGUAGUUGGCGGGGUAGAGGCCCACCAAGUCUACGAUCAGUAGCUGAUGUGAGAGCAUGAUCAGCCACACGGACAUUGAGACACGGGCCCGACUCCUACGGGAGGCAGCAGUAAGGAAUAUUGGACAAUGGACGCAAGUCUGAUCCAGCCAUGCCGCGUGAAGGAUGAAUGCCCUCUGGGUUGUAAACUUCUUUUACAGGGGUAGAAAGUUAUCUUUUUCAGGAUAUUUGACGGUACCCUAUGAAUAAGCACCGGCUAACUCCGUGCCAGCAGCCGCGGUAAUACGGAGGGUGCAAGCGUUAUCCGGAUUCACUGGGUUUAAAGGGUGCGUAGGCGGGUAUGUAAGUCAGUGGUGAAAUACCGGAGCUUAACUUCGGAACUGCCAUUGAUACUAUAUAUCUUGAAUAUUGUGGAGGUAAGCGGAAUAUGUCAUGUAGCGGUGAAAUGCUUAGAGAUGACAUAGAACACCGAUUGCGAAGGCAGCUUGCUACGCAAAUAUUGACGCUGAGGCACGAAAGCGUGGGGAUCAAACAGGAUUAGAUACCCUGGUAGUCCACG
rnacentral:rRNA from 1 species